rnacentral:tRNA from 1 species
GUGGCAGUAGCUCAGUGGUAGAGCACCCGCUUCGCAAACGUGGAGACCUGGGUUCGAUUCCCGGUUGCUUCU